UCCAGUUAGUCUACCUUACUGGAUGUAACAAAGGCUAGUGUUUUUCCCUCUGUCACUUGGGCUUUGCUAUGGCAAACAGUCCUUCUAAUUGCAAAAUGCUUCCUGUGCAUCAGAUCCUGCUCCUUGUUUUCUUCUGCCUAACACCAGGAGCAGAUGCUGUUAGAUGUAUUCACUGCAUACCCAAAGACCGGGAGGGAUCGUGUAAUUUAGGAAUUUGUGAAAUCAAUCCUGUAAAAGAAACUUGCCAUGCCCUAAAAAUGUAUUCAUAUGGGACAUCUAAUGAGCUCAUACUUCAAAACACAUUUCUAGACUGCAGGAGGAAGGAAGAUGCAAAGUGCGGUGUAAAGGGCAAUGUGCCAGGCAAACGUAUCUAUGCUGAACAUGCCUGUUGUGCAGAGGGCACCCUCUGCAAUGGAAAUUUAUAGAUAAAGCUGAAAGCAACCUGAAUAUCCUAAACCCACACAAACAUAUGUAUGCACUACCCAGUUUGC